rnacentral:rRNA from 1 species
AUUGAACGCUGGCGGCAUGCCUUACACAUGCAAGUCGAACGACGGCAGGGGGCAACUCCUGUCGAGUGGCGAACGGGUGAGUAAUACAUCGGAACGUGUCCUGUCGUGGGGGAUAACCCGUCGAAAGACUGGCUAAUACCGCAUGAGAUCGAAAGAUGAAAGGCGGGGGACCGCAAGGCCUCGCGCGAUAGGAGCGGCCGAUGCCGGAUUAGCUAGUUGGUGGGGUAAAAGCCACCAAGGCGACGAUCCGUAGCUGGUUUGAGAGAACCGACCAGCCAC